UACGUAGGCAGCAAGCGUUGUUCGGAGUUACUGGGCGUAAAGGGCGCGUAGGCGGCCUUGUGCGUCACCCGUGAAAGCCCCCGGCUCAACCGGGGAGGGUCGGGUGAAACGGCGGAGCUGGAGGCAGCGAGAGGCUGGUGGAAUUCCCGGAGUAGUGGUGAAAUGCGUAGAGAUCGGGAGGAACACCGGUGGCGAAGGCGGCCAGCUGGCGCUGACCUGACGCUGAGGCGCGAAGGCGUGGGGAGCGAACGGG
rnacentral:rRNA from 1 species